AGCUGGUCACAGAUUCCUAGCUCAGGCUUGGUGACCUUGCGGCCGUUCAUGAGCUUUGUGGUCUCCGGUCUCGUAUGUGUGGGCUGCCUUGUAGUUCCUCGCUCUCUAUUCUUGCGUGAAGCGCUUUAUUGACUUACAGCUGAGUGCGAGGUUUGUUUUCCUCCUGCUGCUCCUGGUUCAGAGCG